UUAUAUCGCGUUGAAUCGCCGGUUUUCGUCUGAUCACCCAAGUUAAGCAAUAUCAAGCCUGGUCACUACCUAGAUGGAUGACUGCUUGGGAAUAUCAGGUUCUGUAAG